UCAUCUUUUUUUAGCUUUUUAACCCUUGCCACACUUCUCCUCAAACGGAGAAGGAAAAAGGGGUGAGUUUUGCAGAAGGAAUGUUUAUGUUGUGGCAGAAUGACAAAAAGUUUAGAAUUAGAGGACAAUUUCAAGGAAAAUUCUGUACCUUACUCUUUUAAUAAAGCUAAAAAAGCCAUGUGCCAUGGCUCAAUCCAUAUUGAAUUUUGCUUUUUUACAAACUUGGAAGAAGUACUGGAUCCACCAACCAAGCACACCAAGAAUUUAUGAAAUUUCAAGCUGUUGUCAAGUCAACAAUUUGGCAAAAGGUGAAAAAAAGAGAAGGCUGGAGCCAUGGAGCUUAAAAUUUUCUGGCCCAAAGGACCCCAUGGCAUGGCAGUAGUGGAUAUCCUUUUUCAACUACCCUUUAGACAACUUCCUUUUGCUUGGGGUUCCAGCUGGGUAUUAUUUGAGUGGGUCACACCUGCUGGACGCUCCAGUUUCAUGUGAUUGAAUUCAAUACUCUUCAUUGUUAACCUGUUGAAAUUACUGAUACCAUGUCCAAAGGAAAGAAACUCUCUUUUGUCAUUUAUCAUUUUUGUGUGGGAAAAGCAUUUCGAAAUAAAAUCUUGAAUGCAUUAGGUUAAGAUAGUGUGUCUUUGGAAGGGUUAGUAAUUCAAUUCAUAUCGAUCAAAUUUUGACUCAACUUGAUUUUAUAGUAUCGAUUUUUUAUUUUUUUAAAUAAGUUUUGAGUUGGAUAAUGGUUAGGUUUCAUGUAAACCUAUAUUGUCUUGAC
rnacentral:lncRNA from 1 species